rnacentral:lncRNA from 1 species
AAAGCCCUAGAGGGCUUUUGGGACAGGGAAGGGUGGGUUCCUUACGUGAGUGCUGCUUGGCUUCCUUCAACCCUCUGCUGCUGCAGCUCCUGCGUGCCUUGCACACCCAGGGCCUCUCCUCUCUGCCUCUGGGCAGGCUUUGCUGCUUGUGCAGCGGUGCGUGGGGCAGCCAGGUCCCCAGGGAGCAGGCCAAAGGAGGCUCCAGCAGCAGCGAGCUCUGACCUCGGUGCCCUGAGCCUCUCGCAGUUUUGUCUGACUGGUGAUGGAGCAGGAGGUUUGUGUGCCAGGCAGCUGCCCAGCACCGGGAGCACCGUGGGACUCUGCAUCGCCCACCGGGGGCUUCCAGGUUUCCAUGGAGAACUCUGGAAUCAAAAAUUGUCCUGCGUCAACUCAUUUUCUGGUGUACCUACGUGAGUGCAGGUUCUUUACUCAGAGCAAGAGCUUUGCCUUGUGUACAGAAGGAGAAGGCAUCUCGGUUGCUUGCCGUGCAGCUUUUGGACACCUCAAGCAUGACGGUGCUGCAGCUUCCCCCAGCAGCGCUGGCAGCUCCUCGCCCCUCGCUGCAGCCGGUGCCACGGGCUUGGGAGCUGCUCCUGCCUCCCCCUGGGAAUCAGCGUCACCCGCAGGGGUGAUCUGCACGCUGGCUUGUCCAAGUCGUGCUCGCUUUGAGCCUGAGAUGCGUGCUUGUUAUCACUUGCCUGUCUCUAAUAAACUUAGAGGUGCUGAAAACCGAGCUGAGUGUGGAUUCUUCUAAUUGCAAGUCAUCGGCAAUUACCUCUGAGGAAAAGGCUUUGCUGUCCUUGCCAGUGUGAAUUGCACAGGCUUUCUGAAGGCACACACAGAGGCACAGUGCUUCUGCAGAACUGGGAUGGGGCUCUGCCUGCCAGCCACACCACGGUGCCUUUUGAUUAGAAG